AGAGGUUUAGGCUAAUUAUGAAGACCGAGGGCCUUCAAAGCCCUAAGUGAGAGUGAAAACCUCUCAACCCCUA
rnacentral:tRNA from 1 species